rnacentral:rRNA from 1 species
GACGAACGCUGGCGGCGUGCCUAAUACAUGCAAGUCGAGCGAUAAAGAUUGGUGCUUGCACCAAUUUGAAGUGCAGCGCACGGGUGAGUAACGCGUGUGGAAUCUGCCUUUGAUCGGGGGACAACAUUUGGAAACGAAUGCUAAUACCGCAUAACAUCUUUAUACAUAAUUUUUAAGUUUGAAAGAUGCCAUUGCAUCACUCAAAGAUGAUCCCGCGUUGUAUUAGCUUGUUGGUGAGGUAAAGGCUCACCAAGGCGAUGACACAUAGCCGACCUGAGAGGGUGAUUGGCCAGAUUGGGACGGUGACACGGCACAUAGUCCUACGGGAGGGGGCAGUAGGGAAUCGUCGGCAAGCGACGGAAGUCUGACCAAGAAGCGCCGAAGGAGUGAAGAAGAAUGUCGGAUGCGAAAUGUCGGUUGGUAGAGUAGAACGUGGGUGAGAGUGGAAAGCUGAGCAAGUGACGGUAACGAGCCAGAAAGAAACGGCUAACUACGUG